GACGAACGCUGGCGGCGUGCUUAACACAUGCAAGUCGAACGGUAAGGCCCUUCGGGGUACACGAGUGGCGAACGGGUGAGUAACACGUGGGUGAUCUGCCCUGCGCUUCGGGAUAAGCCUGGGAAACUGGGUCUAAUACCGGAUAGGACCACUGCCUGCAUGGGUGGUGGUGGAAGGCUUUUGCGGUGUGGGAUGGGCCCGCGGCCUAUCAGCUUGUUGGUGGGGUGAUGGCCUAUCAAGGCGACGACGGGUAGCCGGCCUGACAGGGUCACCGGACGCACUGGGACUGAGGUGCGGCCCAGACUCCUUCGGGAGGCAGCGGUGGGGAAUAUUGCAGAAUGGGCGCGAGCCUGAUGCAGCGACGCCGCGUGGGGGAUGACGGCCGUCGGGUUGUAAACCUCUUUCAGAACCGACGAAGCGCAAGUGACGGUAGGUGCAGAAGAAGGACCGGCCAACUACGUGCCAGCCGCCGCAGUAA
rnacentral:rRNA from 1 species